GAGGAAUCCCUCAACAGCACUAUCGACCCAGCUUGUUUGCAGGAACCUCCUCUGGCUCUGGACUUGAUAAAACAACUUGACGUGUUUGGAAUAUGCCUCUACGCCAUGCUCACAUCAAUGUGCUGCCUGACCCUGCUGCUAUACCUGGAGCAGUGUUGGUUUAUUUAUAAAAAGAUGCCGUAUCCCAAGAAGACCACCCUCAUUUGGAUAAGUGGUGCUGCACCAGCGAUCAGCACCAUGGCCUGUUUUGGGAUGUGGAUUCCUCGGGCGGUCAUGAUCACAGACAUGGCGUCUAACUGGUAUGUUUUAUUUCUUUACUACACCUAAACUGGAGCACAGCCUCUGUGUUUUCUUAAAACAUUAACAAUCAGACACUUUGAGUUAGACAAGGAGCCAAAAGACUGCCACAGCUGUGUUUAUCAACUGGUGGCCCAUGGCCCGUUUCAAGUUUGUUGGAGGGGACUUUUUCGGCCAGUGGAGGUGACAUUAGAAAACUAAAACAUAUAAUAACUGCUAAUAGUUAUAGAUAUUUGUUUAAUUGAUUAAUGUAAGGAAGGGAAAAAAAGGUUUUGUCUCUUCACUUUACCUUUGUUUUUAUUCUGAUGCAUGCUCAAUAAU